rnacentral:rRNA from 1 species
CCUACGGGAGGCAGCAGUGGGGGAUAUUGCACAAUGGGGGAAACCCUGAUGCAGCGACGCCGCGUGUGGGAAGACGGUCCUCUGGAUUGUAAACCACUGUCCCCAGGGACGAAGAUGACGGUACCUUGGGAGGAAUCUCCGGCUAACUACGUGCCAGCAGCCGCGGUAAUACGUAGGGAGCAAGCGUUGUCCGGAAUUACUGGGUGUAAAGGGAGCGUAGGCGGGAUGGCAAGUUGGGUGUUAAAUCUACCGGCUCAACUGGUAGUCGCACUUAAAACUGCUAUUCUUGAGUGAAGUAGAGGCAGGCGGAAUUCCUAGUGUAGCGGUGAAAUGCGUAGAUAUUAGGAGGAACACCAGUGGCGAAGGCGGCCUGCUGGGCUUUUACUGACGCUGAGGCUCGAAAGUGUGGGGAGCGAACAGGAUUAGAUACCCUUGUAGUC